GCAAGUCGAACGGCAGCACGGGAGCUUGCUCCUGGUGGCGAGUGGCGAACGGGUGAGUAAUAUAUCGGAACGUACCCUAGAGUGGGGGAUAACGCAGCGAAAGUUGCGCUAAUACCGCAUACGAUCUACGGAUGAAAGUGGGGGAUCGCAAGACCUCAUGCUCAUGGAGCGGCCGAUAUCUGAUUAGCUAGUUGGUGGGGUAAAGGCCUACCAAGGCAUCGAUCAGUAGCUGGUCUGAGAGGACGACCAGCCACACUGGAACUGAGACACGGUCCAGACUCCUACGGGAGGCAGCAGUGGGGAAUUUUGGACAAUGGGGGCAACCCUGAUCCAGCAAUGCCGCGUGAGUGAAGAAGGCCUUCGGGUUGUAAAGCUCUUUUGUCAGGGAAGAAACGGUGAGGGCUAAUAUCCUUUGCUAAUGACGGUACCUGAAGAAUAAGCACCGGCUAACUACGUGCCAGCAGCCGCGGUAAUACGUAGGGUGCAAGCGUUAAUCGGAAUUACUGGGCGUAAAGCGUGCGCAGGCGGUUAUGUAAGUCAGAUGUGAAAUCCCCGGGCUCAACCUGGGAAUGGCAUUUGAGACUGCAUGGCUAGAGU
rnacentral:rRNA from 1 species